GACGAGGGAUCCUAGCGUUGCUCGGAAUCAUUGGGCGUAAAGCGGGUGUAGGUGGCUUGGUAAGUCAGAUGUGAAAGCCCUGGGCUUAACCCAGGAAGUGCACUCGAUACUGCGUAGCUUGAGUCUCGGAGAGGUUGGUGGAAUUCUCGGUGUAGAGGUGAAAUUCGUAGAUAUCGAGAGGAACACCGGUGGCGAAGGCGGCCAACUGGACGAAGACUGACGCUGAGACACGAAAGCGUGGGGAGCAAACAGG
rnacentral:rRNA from 1 species